UACGUAGGGAGCAAGCGUUGUCCGGAAUCAUUGGGCGUAAAGCGCGCGUAGGUGGCUUCAUAAGUCCGUUGUGAAAGUCAAAGGCUCAACCUUUGAAAGCCGAUGGAUACUGUGAAGCUAGAGUACGGAAGAGGCGAGUGGAAUUCCUGGUGUAGCGGUGGAAUGCGCAGAUAUCAGGAAGAACACCAAUAGCGAAGGCAGCUCGCUGGGACGUUACUGACACUGAGGCGCGAAAGCGUGGGGAGCGAACAGG
rnacentral:rRNA from 1 species